AACGUCGUCUCAUACCGGACGGGGUAUGGAGACUUGGUCAUUUGGUGCUCAUACUAGACGGGGUAUGGGGACGACCCGCUUCACCCUCAUACCGAACAGGGUAUUGAGGUUUAUUGUUUUGGCGCUCAUACCGGACGGGGUAUGGGGAUGACCCUUGAAUUAAGAUUGUUAAGAAAAAUGGUUCACGUGUAGUGGGGACCCCUAUGGAUCCCCAUGGAUACUAGUAUGCUGGUGAAAAUGAGAAACGGUGAUAAUCAGUUAUUGUUAAUAAAUACAGAUUUAUGAUGUGUUUUAUGUUACUGAUUAUGCAUGAAAUUGUGAUAUGUAUGAUGUUAUUGUCUUUAUAGGUUGUUUUCACAGGUGUUCCAAGGGUAAAAAAAAGGGUAAGUGGUUUUAUUUUAAAUAAUUGAAUUGGUUUAAAAUUUGUGCUCCAUUGGUUGUUUUCGGUUUUCUACCAAUUUUUGCUUCUUUGACGAUGAUAUAGUGUGAUGUCCUUACUGAGCUAGUGUAGCUCAUUCCUUAUUUAACCAUUUUAGAUCAGGAGGACCUAGUUCCUGAGCCUAAUCCACAAGAAGACGGCGAGUAGAUGCUAAAUGCUUUAUAGUUUCCUUUAUUUUUCUCAUUUCUCGUAUUUCUUUUAGAGAACUUAUUCUGUGGUAUUGUUUAGUACUUUUAAGUUGUUGUGUAAGGGAUGUUAACCUUAAUCUUUGAUUUCACUUCCGCACUCAGAUUAUUAUAUGUAUUUUCUUUUG
rnacentral:lncRNA from 1 species